rnacentral:lncRNA from 1 species
AUGGGAUGCUCUUAUAAUGUGUAAGGAUGUCAUGUGAUUAAAUUCCAUAAAGAAGAAUACGAAAGGAAGAACUUAUUUUUCUGCAAUAUCCUUGAUCUUGAAACUCUAAGUUUAUUGUAUGUGAUACAAAGUUGUAUGAAAAAUAAAAUAUCUAAUCUAUAUAAUUAAAAUUAUUUUAAUCAUAAAAAAAUAAAAUCUCGAAUCAUAAAAAUUUUAGAUAUAA